ACUAAGACAAGAUUUUCAAGACCUCGGACGCAAUGCAACACUGGGUGAAGGACGGUUGAUCGGCUCCCUCGAAAACCCAGUGGAUGCCCGGGAUGCUGGAGAGGCCAUGUCAUCCUGCGGAAAGCUUCACCCAGGCUCAAAGAGACAGACGGAUAUUUUCAAGACCCAAGGCUUACCUGCACAGCCACAAGUCAUUAUGGGCUCUGGCUUGGUUGGACAACGCGGCGGCUCUGGACAGGCGGUGCUAGCAGAUGUAGACGAACGGUAGGAAUGGAUGGGCACCGACAGGGAUUCAGAGGGGCCCGUUGAAAGACCAUGUUUUGAUCAUCCAGUCUUCAAACACAUUGAAGUGCGAGGACAUACUCGGAGGCGAUCAAAUCUUGUGGGGAACGUGUGCAAAACUCUGCAGAGUACUCAAACCUAAUCGAUUAGCCGUGUCCACGAUCAUGGACAAUCUUGAGCCAAAGGAACUGAAGUUAUCUGGAUUUCUCAACACCAUUAUAUAUAUUUGAUGAGGGUAAUUAUUGACAACUCGGGUACGAGAACUGGUUGGCGGAAUCAUCUCGUUAACAACAAACCUUGUAGUAACAUUUUGCCUUCAAACCCCUCUUGUUGUAGGAUAAAACUGGCUUUAUGCAAAACUUAGCUCCACCGACCAGAUAUGCAUGUAGAGAUAGUUGAUUAUUACUUUACCCCUCUCUUAUGUGACUUGCCGGCAUAUUCAAUAUGCUGACCUACACGGCUACAACGUCUUAUGUUGCAGAUAUUUUUCUUCGACGAGUAAGAGUACGAUCCAGGGUUACGGUCUACACUCAACUUGCCGUUGGUGUUUAUUGGGACUCCACUCCCUUGACCGCUUCCGCUGAGACAAUUAAGGUAUAUAUCAGUUUUACGCUAUUUACAUGUGAUUGCACUUUGAUAUAUACACUGAUGUACUGUGUGUGCCAGCAUACUGAUCCAGGGAUGGCACAGAAACAUAGAGGCUUGACUCGUUUUGAGUCGGGUCGCUACAGAGAUGGCAUCAGAGCACAUGUUGACUGUAGGACGUGACCCUAGAAACUAGAAAUUUCUUAGGAUAGGAUCUCUCAAAAAAAUCUUAUUUUCGAGAACACCUUUCUCUUCUCAUCUCUUAUGCUUUCCUCAAAUGUUCUCUCUCAUCUCAAAUAGUUAUACAAUCCCCUUACCCCUUUGACCUCAUGAAGAAUCAACGGAGUUCUACUUCAAAGUAAAGAGGAUUUCAUCAUGCAAUUGAAGCAUUGAAGCUGCGCCAAUUGAAGACUCUCAAGACCCGAAGAAUUCGAAGACCCUGAAGCGCUCGAAUAUUUAUAUGACCAUUAGAAGUCCAAACCCCUGUUAUAUACCCACGUUAGAUACGAUGAUUUGUGAGCCGUCAUUGGUGUGUGUUUUCCAACGGCCACAACUAAAACCUAUUCUCAAAAAUAUUGUUUGUAUUGUGUGUAUCUCCCUCCCUCUCUUACCCGUCUCAUCCCCAAAACCUCAACCCUACCAGAUGGAGUUUGAAGCUGGACUUGUAGUCUCUGGACCAAUGACCCAGCUGGAGGCUGAUAUAUGGAUUCAAAACAUGGAGAACCACUUCGGGAGCAACUUGAUCUCAAGGAAGUACGAAGUGGAACACGCUCUCCAGUACUUUCCCCAAAGUGCUGCUAUCUGGUGGAAAAUGCACCAUGCCAUACAAGGAUUUAGCGGAGCAGAAAGUUGGGAAGAAUUCAAGAAGACUCUGUUAAGAUCCCGUCUCAUUCAGAAGAGCUAUGAUACUCCGAUGAAGAAGCCUUGUGCAUGCAAGAUCUGUGGAGAAAUAGGACACACCCAGGAAGAACACAAGGAUGGAUGCACUCAUUGUGAUAAAAAUCACCCAGCUGAGGAAUGCCCAACUAGUCAGGUGACUUGUUUCUUGUGUGAAGGAACCACCCACUACCCAGCUCAGUGUCACAUUUACCCCAAGGUGCAACAGGUUGCCUAGCAGCAGAAAGAUGCAGUGAAGGAAACCCUCAAGGAGAAGAUUCUAGAAGAGCCGGUGAUGAACGAGAAUAUUGAAGACCCUGAUGGACAAGGUCUGACCAGAUUUUUCUCCAAUGCAUGCUACUCAUGUGGAUAAGAAGGACAUUAUUCACAAGACUGCAUGAAGAGAAGCCAAGAGUAUCUGGGAUACUUCCCGACGGAAGAAGUGGAAUUUGAUCCACUUGAAAUAGAAGAACUGGCCAAAAUAAAGGAGUCCGGAAAUAAGAAAAAGUACCCUCGGAGGAACCAAACCUGUGCAGAUGUAGACCUGAGUCAUGUCAGAUAUUACAAGUGUAUGAAAUUUGGCCACCACAACUACAUGUGCUCAGGAAGGAAGCCGGGAAUCCAAGGAGCAAAAGCAGAAGCUAAGAAGCCUCGAGACUGGUCAGAACUCAUUUGCUUUUGUUGCAAGGAAGCAGGACAUUUUGCUAGCGAUUGUCCACAAAGGAAGAAAGCUAAGAAGGAGUAGUUAAGUUUUGGCCGCGGCAAUAAGUAUAAUCUGAAGCACUCUUGUUUUUCAUGAGAUCAUGGAGUGAAAUUUUUGUAACAGAAGUCCGUGAGAUUGUAAUAACAUCAUGAAUAAAUGUAAUUUAUUGUCUCAUGAUUGCCUAUGUUGAAACUGUAUGCGUUGUUUCUCUACGAGCAAAGAUCUCUGAACAUUAUGAGGAUAUGAGAAAAUAUGGUCUAUGCAGGCAUGAGUAGAAUUCAUUUAAGUGUGGUAGUAAUCGGUAAACCCCACAGGAUCCACUGAGUAGGAAUGUACCAUAACCAAGGAGACAUAUACAUUCCUCUGAGUACCUAUUUACUGGCACCUGCAGAUGACAACUCUCUACGAGUCAUUCCUCAAGGGCCCAGAAACGAUCAUGACCCUGACCAGUGAUCAUGAUUACCCGAAAAUCCUGAAGGACAUGAUGAAGCACAUUCAUCUUGAAGGAGAUGCAGUCUACAAAGGCUACCCAUUCAUGGAAAUUGGAGUAGACCUUUGGUAUGUGGAAGUACACCUCCACCAUGUGAAAGGAGUUUGUCCAAAGACUAUGGGGCAAUAAUUUUUCAUUUCACGUGUACCACGAGCAACCUUCUUUGAUGAUGUUCGUGAAGCUGCCAUGGAAGCCAUACGUUAGAUCGGAGAAAUACUUGAAGCAAGACUCCGUCAUACCCAGGAAUACCUGAGUGAAGUGCAUGCGGAGAUGAUGGAGAUGAAGCUCAUGGCCACCAUGAUGAAGCAAAAGAUGGAUGAUUUCAAGGAGCACCUCGGAAAGUUCGAGUGGAACUAAAGUACCUCCAAGAGAGACAGAUGAAUAAAGUUGGCAGAAAUGUUUGACCAUACCGAACAAUGUGGAUGGCAGCAUUUGUAAUAAAUUACUUUUGAGUUAGAAUUUUGAAGAAAGCAAGGAUGUAAUAAAGGAUUGAUUAUGAAAUGAAUAUGAUUUAUGGAAGAAGCUAUGAUGGAUCAACAAAACGUUUUCUUAGGAACAUACGAAAGCCUGAGAGUUGUAAAGAUACGAUAGAUGUUUCGUUCAGCUUGCAGAACCAAUGGAUUAUCUGAACUUCGUUCGUGGACAAGAGAAAUUCUGCAACGCUUGUGAGGAUGCCCAAGUGUUAGAAUGCGAGAUUCGCUAGACCUUAUACAGAGAAAUGAUUUGGGUGCGGAAUGGAUUGAUCACCAUGACGACUUACUCUUAUCAUUUAUCUUUCUAUUCGGAAUGGUAAAUCUGAGAGACUUACCCAUAGAGAGAGACGACGUUCUUUGAAGCUUUGUUUAAGCCUUAGAGUGGUACAAGGAAAGCCCAUGUACAUGGCAUUUGUUGUCACGCCUAGGAAAUUUUACGGUGAGAAUGAAAACCAAGACCCCUCUCUCUGCAUGAUAACCACAAAUGGUAGACCACCAUGAGAACCAUCGAUAUGUUAUUUAGAAUUGACCACGAGACUGUCAGUUAAGAAGACCCAGUGACGAAAGAAGCUUAUAUCAACAGAAGAUAUGAAGACUGUGAGGAGUCAUGAUGCCAAAAACCCCAGAGGAUCGUUAAAGCAUUUUGAGGGACAAGUAUCUCUCAUUUUAAGUGUGGUAGCAUCCCACCUUGCCGGAGAUUGGAAUUGUUAGAAGACCCCCAAACCCUAACAUUUCUUUCUAGCCUCUUCGAAUCUCGAGGACGAGAUUCAUUUUAAGUGUGGUAGUUUGUAACAUCCCAAAAUUAUAAAUUUUGGAAUGUUAAUAUAAUUAUUAGAUUUAUUGUUUGUUUGUUUGCUGAGUGACUGAAACUUGUGUGAAAUUUUAAAAUUUUCGAAACUUUUGAAUGAGAGGGAAUAAAAUGACUUUCCCCUUCUCCGGUGAAUUCAAAUUCAAUCUUUUAAAAGCAACGAGAGAAGAUGACAUGACUUCUCCAACCACAAAGAAUUUGAACGGAGAUAUUUGCAUUGAAUUCUUUUGUUUUUCCAUUCGUUUUCUUCGUGCAACAAAAUGCCGAGAAAUACAUUCUAGAGCGGAGGAACAUGACCCUCGAACCCACGGGCAUUUUGAAAGUUAUUUGAACCCUCAAACUUAGAGGAUCAUUUGAAUUUUUUUUGCAAAAAGAAAUAAUGCUUUUAGGGAUUUUUGGAAAAACAUUUUUUCUGAAGUUUUUAUUUUUGCCGUGGAAAAAUGCCCAUCAUCUAUAUUUUAUUUUUCUGAUAAUUUUAGUAUAUAGAAACUCUUUAUUUCGAAUUGAUUUGUUUUCCAUUUUAUCAUUUUAGUUUCCUAGUUUUAAAAAUAGGAAAGGAAUCACUUUUAAAUAGAAAUAAGAGCUGGCCCAUUAAGCACUUUCCUAUUCUAGCCCAACAGGAGAUCAUCUUCUUCCUUUGUCUCUAUCAAGUCACAGAGAUUUUUCCUUCCAUGGACACAGGAAUCCCCACCUUCGGGAUUCGCGAAGCUCNNNNNNNNNNNNNNNNNNNNNNNNNNNNNNNNNNNNNNNNNNNNNNNNNNNNNNNNNNNNNNNNNNNNNNNNNNNNNNNNNNNNNNNNNNNNNNNNNNNNNNNNNNNNNNNNNNNNNNNNNNNNNNNNNNNNNNNNNNNNNNNNNNNNNNNNNNNNNNNNNNNNNNNNNNNNNNNNNNNNNNNNNNNNNNNNNNNNNNNNNNNNNNNNNNNNNNNNNNNNNNNNNNNNNNNNNNNNNNNNNNNNNNNNNNNNNNNNNNNNNNNNNNNNNNNNNNNNNNNNNNNNNNNNNUAUCUAUUAGUCUAUACCUCCGAAUUAGGUGAUUCUUUUUGCGUUGGAUCACAAAUUUUAUGCAGUUUCUGUAGAUAUAUAAUUUGUCUAUGUUUGGAUUUCUAAAAAUUGAGUUAGAUCAGAUUUGAAUUAAAUCUUGUUUUUCUUAUUUCGGGAGUUUAAAAAUAGCUUUUAAUUUGAUUAUUUUUGCUGCUGCUUCCUAUUGAUCAUAUCUUUCAGUAGUUUAAGUUUCAAUUGUUUUAAAAUAUUUUUAAUUGGGUUUUUUACCAAAACAGAUUCUGUUUUAGUUCUUUUAGGAUUAUAGCUAUUUAUUUUUCUAUAUUUGUUUUUAAAUUAGCUUUUUUUAUAUUUGAGAAAGUUUAUAUUUGGUAGUUUCUUUUAUAUUUGAGAAAGUUUAUAUUUGGUUUUAAGUUAGUUAACAGUAGUUUUGCAACAAGUUUUUAUUUUUUUCUAUUUGUUAUCAUGAAAUCAAUUCUAGUUUCUUAGUAACUUGCGAUUGGUUUCUACACUGUUUCAAAUCCCGUUUGGGAAUACUUUCAAAAAGUUUUGUGAAAAAUACUUUAUUUUAUCUUAGUUAGAUUUAUAUCUUAGUUCCUUGUUAUUGUUUUCUAUUAGACAAAAACUAUUUAGUGUUUGACGUAGUAGAAGACACUCUAGUCUUAUUUGAAGUUUCCUUCGGAUUCCUAUUCGCUCUCUCUUUUGUUUUGAUUGCUAGAAUGAUUGCUAGUAUGAGUGCUUAUGUGAAUGAUAUGUUUGUUAUAUAGAUUUCAUCGGAGAGUGACGAGUAGUCUAUCAAGUUAUUUUCUCGAGAAAUUCUUCUUCGUCAACAUCAACAGGCAAGUUACUUUGAUCAUAUUUUACCUAUGUUUUCAUUGCAUGGUAGAUCACCUUCUUUGCCCAAUUGCAUGCUGCCUAGGUACUUGGAAACUUUAGUGUAAGUUGUAGUAUCAUGUGGUAGGAACACAACAACCCCGACACUUGGCCCCGGGACGACAAUUUCUUAAUGCUAUGCUUGAGUAGACGGGUUAUCAUUUGAGUGUAUACCACGAGUGAUGCUAGAUUGAUAUAAUAAUCAAGACCGGACUAAGACAAGAUUUUCAAGACCUCGGACGCAAUGCAACACUGGGUGAAGGACGGUUGAUCGGCUCCCUCGAAAACCCAGUGGAUGCCCGGGAUGCUGGAGAGGCCAUGUCAUCCUGCGGAAAGCUUCACCUAGGCUCAAAGAGACGGACGGAUAUUUUCAAGACCCAAGGCUGACCUGCACAGCCACAAGUCAUUAUGGGCUCUGGCUUGGUUGGACAACGCGGCGACUCUGGACAGGCGGUGCUAGUAGAUGUAGACUGACGGUAGGAAUGGAUGGGCACCGACAGGGAUUCAGAGGGACCCGUUGAAAGACCAUGUUUUGAUCAUCCGGUCUUCAAACACAUUGAAGUGCGAGGACAUACACGGAGGCGAUCAAAUCUUGUGGGGAACGUGUGCAAAACUCUGCAGAGUACUCAAAC
rnacentral:lncRNA from 1 species